rnacentral:lncRNA from 1 species
GCCCAUUCCUUGCUAAUAGCGCCAGUGACUCCUCGCGGCUGCUGCAAAUUGACACAUUACAUGCGGGGUAAAGGUUGGGGACCGAAGCACGGAGGCAGCUUUCCUCCUCAGGGUUGGUGUUGAAAGCACGUUAUUUAUUUGAGAGCGCACCCUUUUUGGACCAUAUUGCAAAAUUCCCCUUUCUUCCCACUGUGGCAGUUUCUCCGUCUCCCAGUGUCUCCUCGCGAAGCCCACAAACGCCAGCCCAGCGCACCGGUGUGCUGGCCCUCUGCGAUUCCUGAGUCCCAGGCUUCUUGUUUUCUGAGUGCUAUUUGCAGAGCUAACAGUGAAUCAUUCUUCCUCAGCAAGUGCCCCUUCUCGUGACUUGCAGGCUGUGGGCGUCUGUCUUCAUGACGCCGGACACGUACAGAUAAUUUAAAAGCGUGCCCUGGGCGCCUGGGUGGCUCAGUCGUUAAGCAUCUGCCUUCGGCUCAGGGCGUGAUGCCAGAGUCCUGGGAUCGAGCCCCGCAUUGGGCUCCCUGCUCUGCUGGGAGCCUGCUUCUUCCUGUCCCACUCCCCCUGCUUGUGUUCCCUCUCCUGCUGGCUGUCUCUCUGUCUGUCAAAUAAAUAAAAUCUUAAAAAAAAAAAAUGCGUGUCCCGUGCCCACAUCUCCUGGUACUGCCCUGUCGUUAGUCCUCGUGGGCACACAGUGGCCCCUGUGUUCAGAGAGACCGGCUUGUUCUUAUCUGCUUCCGUUGUGCAAUGCUCCCCCCUCUGGUGAGCCAAGUGUGGAAACAGAAUGUUUUUGGAAACGUGGCGGUCACCCGGUGCACAGCAGGAACACCCCCUCUGGAAGGUUGUGCCACUCUGGAAAGCCUGCUAAGUCACACCACCUUUUGUCAUGAGACUUGGCUGACCCUGAGAAAAGAAACAGUCGGCUCUGCUCUCCCCGCCCUGCAAGUCGACACGGCGUUGCCGGAAAGACCUAGGCUCGAGUGCAGGAGCGUUGCGGCCCAGGCCCCUCAGAGCUGAAGACGCUCCUCCUCGGAGCCCCCAUGGAAUGAGAUGGGGUGUGAACUGCAAAAGGACUCGCUCAGGUAGGGGCCGUCUCCGGUGAGGGCUCACCCCCGUGCCUGCCGCUUCGGUGUGUGUUCGCCCAUGUGAAGUGCUCUUUCAUGGGCGUCCCGGCGGGUGUGUCCAGGUGCUGCUGUUUGGCUUCCUGUGCGUUUCUGUGAUGAGUAAGAGGUUGAGC